GUGCCAGUUGCUCAGAUAGGAGCAUCGGUUUUAGAAACCGAAGGUGGGGUGCAAUUCCUCCCUGGUAGA
rnacentral:tRNA from 1 species